rnacentral:rRNA from 1 species
CCUUGAUGUGUAGGAUAGGUGGGAGGCUUUGAAGUGUGGACGCCAGUCUGCAUGGAGCCGACCUUGAAAUACCACCCUUUAAUGUUUGAUGUUCUAACGUUGGCCCCUAAUCGGGGUUGCGGACAGUGUCUGGUGGGUAGUUUGACUGGGGCGGUCUCCUCCUAAAGAGUAACGGAGGAGCACGAAGGUUGGCUAAUCCUGGUCGGACAUCAGGAGGUUAGUGCAAUGGCAUAAGCCAGCUUGACUGCGAGCGUGACGGCGCGAGCAGGUGCGAAAGCAGGUCAUAGUGAUCCGGUGGUUCUGAAUGGAAGGGCCAUCGCUCAACGGAUAAAAGGUACUCCGGGGAUAACAGGCUGAUACCGCCCAAGAGUUCAUAUCGACGGCGGUGUUUGGCACCUCGAUGUCGGCUCAUCACAUCCUGGGGCUGAAGUAGGUCCCAAGGGUAUGGCUGUUCGCCAUUUAAAGUGGUACGCGAGCUGGGUUUAGAACGUCGUGAGACAGUUCGGUCCCUAUCUGCCGUGGGCGCUGGAGAACUGAGGGGGGCUGCUCCUAGUACGAGAGGACCGGAGUGGACGCAUCACUGGUGUUCGGGUUGUCAUGCCAAUGGCACUGCCCGGUAGCUAAAUGCGGAAGAGAUAAGUGCUGAAAGCAUCUAAGCACGAAACUUGCC